CUCUAUUCUUACUUACUUGCCAGAAAUACUUUUGUCCUAUCUGAACCCAGUCCUGAAAAGCUUCCUGUGAACUUCAGAACCCGACAAUUUUGAUGGAGAUGCUAGCUCUUCAACUGCUUUCACCAAAGAUACUAUAAUAAAUGCAUAAUAUAUUCAAGGAGUGUAAAAAAAAUGCAGUUAUUCAACACACAACCCACAGGCAGAGAACAAGUAUUCUCUCAUUUUCUUUUUUGCUUUUCUCCUUUUUGGGGGGUUGGGAUAACUGGGGAUUGAACUCAGGGGUACUUGACUACUGAGCCACAUCCCCAGCCCUAUUUUGUAUUUUAUUUAGAGACAGAGUCUCAGUGAGUUGCUUAGCACUUGCUUUUGCUGAGGCUGGCUUUGAACUUGCACUCCUCCUGUCUCAGCCUCCCGAGCCGAGCCACUGGGAUUACAGGCAUGAGCCACUGAGCCUGGCUUUCACGUCCUUUCUUUUGACUCACUUUUUUUGUUUGAGGUGUAGCGAACUUAUAAAAAUAUGUCAAAUGCCCCAUCUUAAGUGUACAGCUCAGUGAUUUUGAAGCCUACCAUGACUCAUCACUGAGAUUAAGACAUAAAACAUGUCUAGCAGCCCAGUUUCUGCCUCCAGUCAGUACUUGCUCACUGUUGUUCAGAGGUGAUCCACUAGUAGGACUUCAACAUCACUUGGCAUUCUCUCUUCAUGAACUUGUAAAUGCAGCACACAGCACACAUUCCUCUGCCUCUGGCUUCUUUCACUCAACACAUUUGUGGUUCAUCCCUGCCUGGCAGUUCCUUUUGUAUCACUGUUCUGUCCUUCAUUGUUCUUUUUCAAUCUAUCUUGCGUAGUUAGCUUUGUUUCAUUUCACGGACUGUUUAGUGUUAAAAGUGUUAAAAGAGGGCCUGGGGAUUAUCCAGUCUAUUUUAGCCUCUGCUUACUGAGAAAGCAACAAUCCAAGGAGUGUAUCUUUUCCAGCCAAAGGUCACCCACCAAAGUCUCAAUUUUAGCUCACUUCUUACCAAUUCGUUUGGUUUGUGUAUCCCUAAAGUUCCUAGGUUGAAGCCUGCUUUAGUCAGCUUUUGCAUUUCUGUGAUCAAAAAGACCUGAGGAAAAGCUUAUUGAGGUUUAUAGUUUUGGAGAUCUCAGUCCAUAGAUGGCUGACUCCACUGCUCUGGGCCCAAAGUGAGGCAGCACAUCAUGGGGGAAGGCCCCCGACAGAGGGAAGCUGCUCAGCUCAUGGCAGGGCCAGGAAGCAGAAAAGGGGAAAGAACAAACCACAGGGAAGAUGCAUCUUUCCAGAGCAUGCCCCCAGUUAUGCACCUCCUCCAGCCACGCCUCGCCUAUCCUCAGUUGCCAGUCAGCCCAAUCAAACUAGAAUGGACUAAUUAGGUUACUGCUCCCAUAAUCUAACCAAUUUGCCUUGGAAUAUUCCUGCAUUAACAUGUUCAAAAGACAAUAAAGCCUAACUUCAAUGUGAAGGCAUUUGGAGUGGGGGAGGGCCUUUGGGAGGUGAUUACUUCAUGAGGGUGGAGCCCUGAAGAACGGGAUUAGUUCCCUUAUCAGAGACAGAGAUGACCAGGAUACUGUACAAAGGUAGCAAUCUGCAAAUCAGGAAGAGUCCUUACCAGGAACAAAUUUGGUCAUUACUGAUCUUGGACUUCCAGCCUCCAAAACCAUGGGAAAUAUAUAUCUGUUAUUUAAGUCACUCAGUCCACAGAAUUCUGUUUGAGUAGUCUAACUGAGGUAUUCUUCCCACUUGCACUUUUCCAAGUAUUACUUGGCACAUAUUCCCAAGUGUUUAUAGGGAAAAUUAAAUAUUUACAUAAAAGCAAUUUAGAGAGAGCAAUUGGUAGAACUCAUGGCUCAUCUUCA
rnacentral:lncRNA from 1 species